ensembl:lncRNA
GUGUGUUUCUUCCUGAUUGUCAGAUGUCUUCCUGGUUGUGUGGCUCCACAACUGUGAAGUUCUUCAGCUGCAGCAUUUGUUUCUGUCCAGCAUCUUGUUCGGUCAGGGGGGCGUUUUCCCCGAGGAGGAAACGGAGGGAGUGCCUAUCGCACAAUCCACAGACCACCCAUUGGGCUCGGAGGAGAGAGAUUCCCUACACGCCGUCUCUUUGGAAUAUUAAUGGGCUUCUCCUGGGAAAACUGCCCACAGAAUAGGCCACUCCAUCGCUGUCUCUGUUUCCGCUCAGCUGUCCUGAGGGUACGUGAGGGUGUUCGGUGCAAUCCGGCCUGGAGAAACCUCAAGUACACCUCAAACUUUUGUUUUGAUGUUUCAUUAAGGACUCUUGGAAAUUGAGCAUUUCUUUUUUUCCCCCUAGAAUAUAUUACAGCUUUUAUUACACAAUAAAAAGCACAGGAACGAUUACAUUUAUGAUGUCAAAUUCCUCAGUCUCAAUUUUAUAACCGCAAUCAAUAAGGAGACAUAUUGAUUGAAAUGAGGGGAUCAUUAGCACGUGAGGGAUUGGGGAAUGAUGACAGUGAUGAUUGGGGAGGUGACAAUGAUGCCGAUCACCAGUGGUUGUCAUCACUGGAGCUGCACUCGAUGGCAGAAGCCCAGACGUCUCAUCUGUUUGGCCGUUAUGAGAGUGACCGUCCUAAUGGCUUCCACAGAUGGCAGAGCUCGCUGAAGUCAUUGCACUUUUCUUUCAAUCCCUUUUGCAUUCUUUAUCUGUAUUUGAGUCUCUGUUACUUGCUUUCAGUCAUUCCACUAUUUCCACUAUUUGAGUUUUCGGCAUAUUUAUGUGAAGAAUCCAGUUUUUUUACAAGCCUGCCAAGCUGUGAAUGAAAUAAGAUGAAUUUGAAAUGGUAGGGAGGUCAAUAACAAAUUGUGUUAGAAUGCUAGAAUGCUUGUGUUAGAAUUUUAUUUUGAAUCCAAAAUAAAAGUCUGUGUUUACAUAAUAUAUGAGUGUGUACUGUGUAUAUUAUGUAUAUAUAAAUAAAAA